GACGAACGCUGGCGGCGCGCCUAACACAUGCAAGUCGAACGGAGAAAGAAACAGCUUGCUGGAUCUUUCUUAGUGGCGGACGGGUGAGUAACACGUGAGCAACCUGCCUCUUGGAGUGGAAUAACGUUUGGAAACGAACGCUAAUACCGCAUAACACCUCUGAAUGGCAUCAUUUGGAGGUCAAAGAUUUAUCGCCAAGAGAUGGGCUCGCGUCCGAUUAGGUAGUUGGUGAGAUAACAGCCCACCAAGCCGACGAUCGGUAGCCGGACUGAGAGGUUGAACGGCCACAUUGGGACUGAGACACGGCCCAGACUCCUACGGGAGGCAGCAGUGGGGGAUAUUGCACAAUGGGGGAAACCCUGAUGCAGCGACGCCGCGUGAGGGAAGACGGUCUUCGGAUUGUAAACCUCUGUCUUCGGGGAUGAAGAAAUGACAGU
rnacentral:rRNA from 1 species